GUCUUUUUGUUAAUAAUUUAAAGUCUAAUCUGCCCACUGAUAUAUUUAUUAAAGGGCUGCAGUAUUUUGACUGUACAAAGGUAGCAUAAUCAUUAGUCUUUUAAUUGGUGACUUGUAUGAAAGAUUGGAUGAAAUAUAAACUGUCUCUUUUAUAAAAAAAAAAUUGAAUUUAAUUUUUUAAUUAAAAAGUUAAAAUUAUUUAAAAAGACGAGAAGACCCUAUAGAGUUUUAUAAUUUAUUUCGUAAAUAUUUUUAUUUUUAUAUUUUUAUAAUUUUAAAUUAUUUUGUUGGGGUGAUAAAAAAAUUUAAUUAACUUUUUUUAAUAGUUUACAUUAAUAAGUGAUUAAAUGAUCCAAUUUUAUUGAUUAAAAGAAAAAAUUACCUUAGGGAUAACAGCGUAAUUUUUUUUUUUUAGUCCAAAUAAAAAGAAAAGUUUGCGACCUCGAUGUUGGAUUAAGAUAAAAUUUAAAUGUAGAAGUUUAAAAUUUUGAUCUGUUCGAUCAUUAAAAUCUU
rnacentral:rRNA from 1 species